rnacentral:rRNA from 1 species
GAUGAACGCUAGCUACAGGCUUAACACAUGCAAGUCGAGGGGCAUCAGGAAGAAAGCUUGCUUUCUUUGCUGGCGACCGGCGCACGGGUGAGUAACACGUAUCCAACCUGCCCUUUACUCGGGGAUAGCCUUUCGAAAGAAAGAUUAAUACCCGAUAGCAUAAUGAUUCCGCAUGGUUUCAUUAUUAAAGGAUUCCGGUAAAGGAUGGGGAUGCGUUCCAUUAGGUUGUUGGUGAGGUAACGGCCCACCAAGCCUUCGAUGGAUAGGGGUUCUGAGAGGAAGGUCCCCCACAUUGGAACUGAGACACGGUCCAAACUCCUACGGGAGGCAGCAGUGAGGAAUAUUGGUCAAUGGGCGCUAGCCUGAACCAGCCAAGUAGCGUGAAGGAUGAAGGCUCUAUGGGUCGUAAACUUCUUUUAUAUAAGAAUAAAGUGCAGUAUGUAUACUGUUUUGUAUGUAUUAUAUGAAUAAGGAUCGGCUAACUCCGUGCCAGCAGCCGCGGUAAUACGGAGGAUCCGAGCGUUAUCCGGAUUUAUUGGGUUUAAAGGGAGCGUAGGUGGACUGGUAAGUCAGUUGUGAAAGUUUGCGGCUCAACCGUAAAAUUGCAGUUGAUACUGUCAGUCUUGAGUACAGUAGAGGUGGGCGGAAUUCGUGGUGUAGCGGUGAAAUGCUUAGAUAUCACGAAGAACUCCGAUUGCGAAGGCAGCUCACUGGACUGCAACUGACACUGAUGCUCGAAAGUGUGGGUAUCAAACAG